rnacentral:rRNA from 1 species
UACGUAGGGGGCGAGCGUUGUCCGGAAUUAUUGGGCGUAAAGGGCUCGUAGGCGGUUUGUCGCGUCGGGUGUGAAAACACUGGGCUUAACUCAGUGCUUGCUUCCGAUACGGGCAGACUAGAGGUAUGCAGGGGAGAACGGAAUUCCUGGUGUAGCGGUGAAAUGCGCAGAUAUCAGGAGGAACACCGGUGGCGAAGGCGGUUCUCUGGGCAUUACCUGACGCUGAGGAGCGAAAGUGUGGGGAGCGAACAGG